UCUGCGUAAAAGAGACAAAGAAACCACUCUCUUUCCUGACAUUUGAACAAGCCCCAAGGCAACACUUUAAAUAACAAACCUAAAACCAAAGCAGAUCGACGCGAAUAAACGCGAGAUAAGAAUUAACGAUGGUCUGUUGCUCGACGGGGGUAAGAAAAAGAUCCUGUCACGUCAGAGUUUGUCUUAACUGUUCUCUGAGACCUUGGCUGUGCAGGGUCUUCCCUGUCAUUUCCAUCAUAGCCUGUACUUCAGGAUCUGCAUCUAACCUGCUCCUGUUCUUCAGGCGGCUUCCCAACGGCCCACACCUCCACGGUGUCCAGUUUGAAGUCCUCGUCUCCUGAGAGCUGAGGACUGCCAUAAGUGGUGCAGCGUGGUCGAGCCCUACUGUGGCCAUGUCCAAAAUCGC